UCCUUUCCUUUUCCAGCUUCCCACAAAACUUCCUCUCGGGCCUUCAGCCAGGAAGCUACGCAGUAAUAACAGAAGUUGGAGUGACUGGUGGCCUUCACCCUGGAGAGUCCCCCAGAGAACAGCCUAAGCUUCAUAGCUAGUUCUGCACGACAUUUGAAAAAGGAAGAACAAAACGCCUGAAUUAGUCACAAGCCAAAUUUUCACUGAAGAUUAAUAUUUAAUUGUUGGCUAAUUAACUAAUAGCAAAAGAUGACUUUGGGAGCUAAGCAGAGGUGAGGUGAUCACGUUUUGUGUUAGGACACAUUAUACAUUGUUAGAAACCAAGAUACAAGAUGAAAAUUGUCUAAUGAGAAUUUGGGUAUUUGUUUCACGGUCCCUUCAAGUAUAAUUGCCACAAUUUAAAAUAAUUAUUGUUCCGUAUAAUGAUAAUUAGGAACGGGAAAUGGAAGCCAAGAAGCGAGCUCUGGAAGAAGAAAAACGACGCCGGGAAAUCCUGGAAAAGCGACUACAAGAAGAAACCAGCCAGAGGCAGAAGUUAAUAGAAAAAGAAGUCAAAAUAAGAGAGAAACAAAGGGCACAGGCUCGUCCCCUGACUCGCUAUCUGCCUGUCCGGAAAGAAGACUUCGACUUGCGGAGUCAUGUGGAGACUGCGGGCCACAAUAUCGACACCUGUUUUCAUGUGUCAAUCACAGAGAAGACCUGCCGAGGAUACCUCAUCAAAAUGGGUGGAAAAAUUAAAACGUGGAAGAAACGCUGGUUUGUUUUUGACCGGAAUAAGCGAACAUUUUCUUAUUAUGCAGACAAGCAUGAGGCUAAAUUAAAAGGAGUGAUAUACUUUCAAGCCAUUGAAGAAGUGUAUUAUGAUCACCUCAAGAAUGCCAAUAAGAGUCCUAAUCCAUUACUCACCUUUAGUGUCAAGACGCACGACAGAAUCUAUUACAUGGUGGCCCCUUCACCGGAGGCCAUGCGGAUCUGGAUGGAUGUUAUAGUGACGGGAGCAGAAGGAUAUACUCACUUCCUGUUGUAGAGAACUUUGGCCGUGGUCCACUUCAGGGAAGACUGCAAUAGUCUCUUACAAGAAUGAAGCCAUAUCCAGUAUCAGAUGGAAAUGCCUAACAGACCCAUCCCAUUAGCUGUGUGCACUCAGAACUCUUUUUAAACUGGGGAGCCUUUCAUACAAGGAAGCAGGGCCUGGAGCUCCUACGGCAAAACACAAACCAAAACACUAUUCUGAUAAAAGCAUCACUUAGAUGCACGCUCGUUUUCAUCAGCUGAUGUUGGUUAAGUCAACCGAACAGUUUACACAAUGUCUGUAAAUAUGUACUUAGAAAUAGAAGAUUAUUUUAGCACCCAGCUCUCUGUCCUUGGUGAUCACCUGCCUUCUUUGUAGGAAGUAGGAUUUUAUAAAAAACAGGCAGAUAAUGACUUAGAAGGCAACAGGUGUUAGACACUUUGCCUUAGUUUUUAAAUACUGUACCCAAACCAAAGACUUAGCUUGACAACUGUUGUUUCAUGUCAGUGUUGCUCUCUAAAUAAUCUUUAAAAUGGGAUUUUAAUGCUAACGCUGUAGUGUCCACCCCCGCCCCCAAGCUACUGUGCCUAUAUAGUAAACCACUUUCUUAAAAGAAUAAAAACAAACAAACAAACAAAAAAAAACUCCUGUUUUAAGAAAAGGCCAUCUCAGACAACAGACUCCUACAACAUCAGGCAAUUUGAAUUAAGGAGAACGUUUAGUGGGAGGGAGGGAUCUUGUUCUGUUGAUUUGUCCAUUCCUGGUGCUGGGAAUGAAAGCAACCAGUAGCCAGUUCCCUCCAAUCUGUUGGAUUCUGCUUGCUUAUGAAGCAAACAUGUUAUCUGCACCUUCACAUGGUGUAACUAUGCAUCCAUCCCUGUUUCACUGAAAACCUGAGCACUCAACACACAAAACACAAAAGACACAGAAAAGACAACCAAAAUUCAAAUUAACAUUCUCUGUGCUAUGUCUUUUCCCAUGUGUCUCUACAAAUAGCCUUUGUUUCCAGAGCUAAUUUUUGUUGAAUGAAAUGACUUCGGGCAAGUCUCUUUUAUAAUCAUUUUUCAAGUGCCAUUUGUGUGUGAGAGUAUGUGAGUGUGUGUGUGAGUGUGUCAGAGUGUGUGUGUGUGUGUAUGUUCUGUGUUUGUAAGUAUGAACAAAUUAUUUUCUAAAACAUGCCAAAUGGAUAGAAAUAGAAAACAAUGUUUAGAAACAUGUCCAUGAAACUUUCAGGCCUGACUGGGUACAAUUAAAAAAACUUACAGUGUACUUUUAUACCUGUAUACAUGUUACCAAUAAUAAGAUUUUGUAACUGGAUGAUGUGAGGUUUUACUUGAAUAAUGAGGGGGAAAGAUCAGUACUGUAGCAGGUAUUUUUUUUUUUCAUCUGUGAUUUCUGCAGACGUUCUCCUUCAAUGCUAGUGAUCUUAAACAUUAAAAGGCAAUUGUUAAGGUUUGGUUGCUUAAUGUAAAGAUACAAUUUGUCUGUAUUGUACCUUCUUCAUAGGAUUGUAAGGGUGUUCUAAUCAUUUUGCAUGUCAUAAAUCUUUUAGAUGUGUAUGUGUGUUAAAUGUAUGGAGUUUGGAUUAAACUGUUGACCUGAUUCACAUUUGAAAAUCUCUCUCUCUCUCUCUCUCUCUCUCUCUCUCUCUCUCUCUCUCUCUCUCUCUCUGUAAUUAACUAUCUGUAACAUAACAGAGUGCAUUAAUCCCUACAGUUAAUGGUAGAAUCUCCAUAAAGAUUUAUUUGUGCUGACAUUGUGAUUGGAAAUUCAUAAACUAAAGUAAUUGGAAGCAUCCCUGGGCACAUUACUGACAAAAUGAGGUGAAUACUGAAAAUCCUUACACAUUACUCUUAGAUUUUGUAUAAAUUAGUUAUCACUAAGGUCUUCCUGCCUGGAAGAGAAGAUGCUAUAAUGCAAAAUAAAACUCUGAGGCCUCAUUUGGUGGGCACCUCUUUCUUCUGGAUGUCAAAAAGAAAAGUUAUCAUCAAACACAAAACAGACAAACAAACAAAAAACUUCUUUCAUUUUUGUAUGCUGAUGCAGGGAACAAGCAGUGCCCCAAAAUGCCCUUACAGGAAAUAAACUGUUCUACUUCAAGC
rnacentral:lncRNA from 14 species